rnacentral:rRNA from 1 species
AGUGAACGCUGGCGGUAGGCCUAACACAUGCAAGUCGAACGGCAGCACAGUAAGAGCUUGCUCUUACGGGUGGCGAGUGGCGGACGGGUGAGGAAUACAUCGGAAUCUACUUUUUCGUGGGGGAUAACGUAGGGAAACUUACGCUAAUACCGCAUACGACCUACGGGUGAAAGCAGGGGAUCUUCGGACCUUGCGCGAUUGAAUGAGCCGAUGUCGGAUUAGCUAGUUGGCGGGGUAAAGGCCCACCAAGGCGACGAUCCGUAGCUGGUCUGAGAGGAUAAUGAGCCACACUGGAAGUGAGACACGGUCCAGACUCCUACGGGAGGCAGCAGUGGGGAAUAUUGGACACUGGGCGCAAGCCUGAUCCAGCCAUACCGCGUGGGUGAAGAAGGCCUUCGGGUUGUAAAGCCCUUUUGUUGGGAAAGAAAAGCAGCAGGUUAAUACCCCGCUGUUCUGACGGUACCCAAAGAAUAAGCACCGGCUAACUUCGUG